rnacentral:rRNA from 1 species
UACCUGGUUGAUCCUGCCAGUAGUCAUAUGCUUGUCUCAAAGAUUAAGCCGUGCGUGUGUAAGUGUGAAAUAUUUCACAGUG